GCUGUGGUGGCCGAGUGGUUAAGGCGUUGGAGUCGAAAUCCAAUGGGUUGGUUAUACACGCACAAGUUCAAAUCCUGUCCGCAGCG
rnacentral:tRNA from 1 species